UCCCGGAGGCGUUCCUCCCAGCCGGGGCCAGGUGACCACCCCCGCGAGCUCGCGCAUGCCUUGAAUCAACCAGGUCGCCCAGGGUUUAUUUCAGGUCACUUGGUCAUCCCCAGCCUCCAGCUAUCUGACUUCUGCAAGGUCUCCAACUUGGGUUGAUUAAAGAUGCUGUCACGGUCCGGCCCUGCCUGUCGCCUCUCCCGCCCGGGGACCACACUACUACUGCUGCUGGCCGGAAGGAGAGGGCCCAGCCCAGCAGAGGGGCCUCAGGUCUGCCCGCUGCCUCCUCUGGCUAAGGAGCACACCACAGCUGCUGGCUGGAAGGAGGGAGCUGGGCCGAGCUGCUGAAACUUGCUCUGACCUCGCCUGUGACCUUCUUAUGAUCUGGAGAGCACCAGCACUCCUGCCACUGCCUGGAGGAAGGAGCAGUCCUGCUGAGCAGGUUUGAGGCCUACUUAGACCAUAAAGGAACCUUCUAUAAGCCUGGGGAGUUUUGCCAUCCAAAGAGCUGGAAUGUUACAAAACAUCCAAUCCCUGGGAGUUUAUGAGAUCCUUGCUCUAGGGGGUUGGGGGCCCACUGGGCUUGCAGCCACACUAUACUGGGCUUAACGGAUUUGGGACUGCCUGGACCACACCAGGUGGCCUUCUAUCCCUCAGGGGAGCUUUGCUACCAGAAGGGGAAGCUGUGCAGAUUGAGGAGGCUUUAGGUCUACCUGAGAGGAGCCUGGCAAGCCUCUUUUAAUCCAGGGGCUCUGCUGCCCAAGGAGGGAGCUACUACCAGAGGAGUCCCAAGAGCCCAGGACAUAAGAGUCAAUUUACAACACGACCAGGGGAAAUUCUGGAACAACACUUGAAACAUAGGAAUAUAGGAAAAUGACAAAACAAAAGACCAAAAUGCAAUCUCAAACAUCCAACCCAUCCCAAGAAAGCCUAGGAGCCAUGUACAUAGAAGAAAAUACAUGCCAUAUACCUGAAAUACCUGAAACAAUAGUAACCAAAAUAAAGAAGCAGCUCCGGGAAGCUUUAAAGGAAUUCAAACUAGAAAUAAUCUAUCAGGUAAAAGAAGAAAUAAUAAAAGAAAUGAAGGAGAUCCUGAACAUAUCUAAAGAAGACACAGCUAAAACAUUGGAGGAACUAAACAAAAGGAUAGAAUCUCUGGAUGAACAAUAUAAGAAACAAACAGAAUAUACAAAACAGAUGCAAAGAGAUAUACAGGAAAUCAAGAACUCCAUUGAAAGUUAUAAAAACCGCCUGAAAGAAUGCGAAGAUAGAAUUUUGGACCUCAAAGACAAGAUUGCAGCCAGUGAACAGGAAAGGAAAGAUCUUUUAAAAAUAACAAGAAAUCAAGAAAUAACAAUUCAACACCUGCAAGAUGACGCAAAGAAAAACAACAUAAGGUUGAUAGGGAUAAAUGAAAAAAAAAAGGAGACAAUACAAAGGAUGUCAAGAGGAUAUUUAGAGAAGUAAUUGCUGAAAACUUCCCAAACAUGAAAUUGGAAACUGAUAUCAGGAUCAAUGAGGCAUAUAGAACUUCAAAUAGCCAUAACUAAAAUAAAACUACACCCAGACAUAUAAUAAUCACCAUUCCAGAAAUCGAACAAAUGAAUAGAAUAUUAAAAGCUGUCAGAGAAAAAAGACAGAUCACCAAUAAAGGAAAACCUAUUAGAAUCACAGCAGACUUCUCAACACAAACAAUAAAGACAAGAAGAGCAUGGAGUGAAGUAUUUCAGACCCUAAAGGAAAAUGAUUUCCAACCUAGACUGAUGUACCCUGCAAAACUGUCCUUCAAAAUUGAUGGAGAAAUAGGAUACUUCCACGACAAAGAACAGCUAAAGAAAUUCAUGAUCACCAAGCCAAUCCUGCAAAGAAUACUGCAAGAUAGUCUAGAUACACUUUAGAAAAAACCACUUAACAAAGCAGACAAUUAAAUAGAACAGAAAGAUAAAGAUGCAAUAGCAGAAAUAUAACAUGUCACCAAUAAACCAAUAUAUAACAGUUAUAACCAUCAAUGUAAAUGGUCUCAAUGCACUAAUUAAAAGAAAUAGACUGGCAGAAGGGAUCAAGAAACAAAAUCCAACCAUAUGCUGUCUACAAGAAACCCAUCUAACCCAAAAGGAUACUCACAGACUGAAAGUCAAAGAAUGGGAAACAAUACUUCAUGCAACAGGAACCCCCAAAAAAGCAGGGGUAGCUAUUCUGUUUGCAGACAAUGUGAACUUCAAACCAAGAAUGAUCAGAAGAGAUAAAGCCAGUCACUACAUACUGGUUAUGGGAAAACUUCAAGAGGAAGAGAUAACUAUCUUAAAUAUAUAUGCACCUAAUUCCAAAGCACCCUAUUAUAUAAAACAAGUAAUAUCAGAAAUGAAAAACCAAAUUAGCAGUAAUACAAUUAUAACAGGAGAUUUUAACAUGCCAUUGACACCAAUGGACAGAUCAACAAGACAGAAAAUCAGCAAAGAGAUAAAAGAACUGAAUCACACCUGUGAACAAAUGGAAUUGAUAGACAUAUACAGAGUAUUCCGCCCAACAACAACAGAAUACACAUUUUUCUCAGCAGUACAUGGGUCAUUCUCUAAAAUAGACCAUAUAUUAGCUCACAAAACAUAUUUAAACAAAUGCAAAAGAGUUGAAAUCAUCCCCUGCAUGUAAUCAGAUCAUAGCGCUAUGAAAUUAGUAAUUAAUGAUAAAAGAUACUGCAAAAAUCCCAUAAACACAUGGAAACUGAAUAACACACUCUUGAGUAAUAAGUGGGUCACAGAGGAAAUUAAAGAGGUAAUUAAACAAUACCUACAAACAAAUGAAAACACAAAUACAACUUACCGGAAUCUGUGGGAUGCAAUGAAAGCUGUCCUCAGAGGGAAAUUUAUUGCACUGAGUUCCCACAUCAGGAAAACAGAACAAAUACAAAUAAAUAACUUGAUGCUACACCUCAAACAGCUAGAAAAAGAAGAGCAAGUCAAGCCCAAAGCCAAAAGAAGAGAGGAAAUAAUAAAAAUCAGAGCAGAAAUCAAUACAAUAGAGACUAAGAAAACAAUCCAAAGAAUCAAUGAAUCAAAGAGUUGGUUCUUUGAAAGAAUAAAUAAAAUUGAUAAGCCCCUACCCAACCUUAUUAAAAAAAAGGGAAGAAAAACCUCCAACUCGUGCAAUAAGGAAUGAAAAAGGUGAAAUCACUACAGACCCAAUAGAAAUACAGAAGAUCAUCAACACCUAUAUCAAAAACCUCUACUCUCAAAGGUUUGAUAACACAGAAGAAAUAGACAGAUUUCUAGAAGCAUAUGAAGUACCAAAGCUAGGUCAAGAAGAAGUAAAACUGCUGAAUAAACCAAUUUCUAUUAAUGAAAUAAAAAAUGUAAUUAAGUCAUUACCUACAAAGAAGAGCCCAUUCCCAGAUGGAUUCACUGAAGAAUUCUACAAGAAAUACAAAGAAGACCUAAUGCCGACACUCCUCAAACUCUUAAAUGAAAUUGAAAGGGAAGCAAUCCUUCCUAAGUCAUUCCUGGAAGCAAAUAUUACUCUAGUACCAAAACCUGAGAAAGACCCAACUGAAAAAGAGAACUACAGACCAAUCUCCCUAAUGAACACAGAUGCAAAGAUCCUCAAUAAAAUAUUGGCAAAUAGGAUGCAGCAAGUCAUCAAGAAGAUUAUACACCAUGACCAAGUGGGAUUCAUUCCAGGAAUGCAGGGAUGGUUCAGCAUACGUAAAUCAAUAAAUGUAAUCAACCAUAUCAAUAAAGCCAAAAGUAAGAAUCACAUGAUCAUUUCUAUAGAUGCAGAAAAAGCUUUUGAUAAGGUACAACAUUCAUUUAUGAUAAGAACCUUACAGAAAAUUGGAAUAGAUGGUCUUUACCUCAACAUAAUAAAAGCCAUCUAUGACAAACCAACAGCCAAUAUCAUACUAAAUGGCCAAAAAUUGAAGGCCUUUACUUUAAAAUCAGGCACAAGACAAGGAUGUCCCCUGUCACUGCUCCUAUUUAAUAUAGUACUGGAAAUACUAGCCAGAGCAAUUAGACAUGAAAGAAAAAUAAAAAGUGCAAAGAUAGGAAAAGAAGAAGUUAAAUUAUCACUAUUUGCAGAUGAUAUGAUAUUCUACAUAGAAGACCCCCAAAACUCCAUUUAAAGACUCCUAGAUAUAAUAAAUAAAUUCAGCAAUGUGGCUGGAUAGAAAAUCAAUACUCAAAAAUCAGUAGCAUUCUUAUACACUAACAACAAAAUCAGAGAGAGAGAAAUAAGAGAAGCCACACCCUUCGCACUAGCAAACAAGAAAAUAAAAUAUUUAGGAAUUACUCUCACGAAAGAAGUGAAAGACCUAUACAGGGAAAAUUAUAAUACAUUGAAAAAUGAAAUUGAAGAUGACCUCAGAAAAUGGAAAGACAUCCCUUGCUCAUGGAUAGGAAGAACAAACAUUGUGAAAAUGGCCAUUCUCCCAAAACUGUUGUACAGAUUCAAUGCAAUCCCGAUAAAAAUACCAUGAACACACCUCAUAGAUCUCGAGAAAUCACUCCUAAAACUCAUCUGGAGUAAGAAGAGACCUAGAAUAGCAAGGACAGUUCUAAGCAGCAAAGGCAAGGCAGGAGGCAUCACAAUCCCUGACUUGAAGUUAUACUACAAAGCAACUGUAGUAAAAUCAACAUGGUACUGGAAUCAAAACAGAGCUGAAGACCAAUGGAAUAGAUUAGAAGAUACAACCACAACUACAAACACACUCAACCACCUUAUCUUUGAUAAAGGGGCCAAACAGGUUCACUGGAAGAAUGACAGUCUCUUUAAUAAAUGGUGUUGUAAAAACUGGCUCUCCAUAUGCCGAAAACUAAAACUAGACCCAUGCCUAUUACCAUGUACUAAAAUAAAAUCUAAAUGGAUCAAAUAUCUAAAUAUUAAAACAGAAACACUAAAUCUAUUGGAAGACAAAUUGGGUAAAAACCUUGAAGACAUAGGGGUAGGUAGAGAAUUCAUGAACAAGACUCAAAUUGCAUGGGAAAUGCUUCCCACAGUCAAUAACUGGGAUCACAUCUUAUUAAAAAGUUUCUGCACAUCGAAAGAAAUCUGUAACAUAAUAAAAGAAAACCCACAAACUGGGAAAAAAUCCUAGUGAACUGCCCCUCAGACAAAGGACUUCUGUCUAUAACAUACAAAGAAUUAAAAAAAAUCAGACCCCCAAAAUUCAAAGACCCCAUCCAAAAAUGGGCAUCGGAGAUGAAUAAACAAUUUUCAGAUGAAGAAAUACAAACAGCAAAUAAAUAUAUGAAAAAAUGUUCAGCAUCAUUAGUCAUUAGAGAAAUGCAAAUUAAAACCACAGUGAAAUUUCAUCUCACUCCUGAAAGAAUGGCCAAGAUCAAGAAAACCACCAACAACAAAUGCUGGAGAGGCUGUGGGGAAAAAGGAACUCUCCUGCACUGUUGGUGGGAGUGUAGACUGGUGCAACCAUUGUGGAAGUCAGUCUGGAAAUUUCUCAGAAAGCUGGGACUGGAAGCACCAUUUGACCCAGCUAUUCCACUUCUAGGCAUAUUCCCAGAAGAACUGAAAGCAUCAUACCACAGUGAUAUAUGUGCAUCCAUGUUUAUAGCAGCACAAUUUGUAAUAGCCAGAUCUUGGAAACAACCUAAGUUCCAUCAACUGAGGAAUGGAUAAAAAAGUUGUGGUAAUUUUAUAUAAUGGAGUACUACUCAGCUAUAGAGAAUGAACACAUUGAGACAUUUAUAAAUAAAUGGACGCAGCUUGAGACCAUACUCGAAAGUGAAAUAAAUCAAACUCACCUGUAUAAAUACCGAAUGGUUUCCCUAAUGUAAGAAACGAUAAGAAUUCAUGAAAGUACGUGGUAAUCAUGAUUCCCAGUCACACUGGUUUGAAGCCAUGUAAUGUUUUCACUCAUUACUUGGAAUAGUUUUAAUUUGGGUGGUUUUAUUUUAUUGUCUGUGAUACUACAAUAACUAUUUUGAAGAAAAUAAAAGCGUAAUAGCUAGCACUGAUUUAAUAUCAUCCUGUUUUGAAGCCCCAUCAAGUUGUUGUUCAUUUGUUUCCAUUGGUUCUAACAUGUUUUAUUUUAUUAUAUCUUAAUGUAGCCGAUAGUAUAAGCAAGCUUUUUAUAGACAAAGAGAUAAUAUAGAAAUUGAUAUUUGGUUUCUGCUAGCUGGUUCUAAAUACCCUGCAAUAAUUUCAUUCUCUUGAAUGGUCUCACACUGUCUUGAUAAAUUUGAUACUAUAGUAUAUAAAGUUAGACUCAAAUAUUUCAAGGAAAGAGUCACUAUGGUAACUACUAUUAAUGUCAAGCUAUCUGGGGGUGAAACACAAUGAUGGUUAAAUUUUUCGGUUCUGACCGGUAUUGUUCUAUUGAUGUUCUUUUUUUUAAAUUUCAGUCUCCCCUGCUUUUUCUUUCCUUUUUAAAAAACAUUAUUUCUUAGUAUCUUUUAACUAAGGGAAAACUAAAUUAAAAAUAAUGCGAUAGAUUAUAGUAAUAUUUUUGUUUCCCUAUUAACCUGAUUUGAACCCCUGUAUUGUUCUCCACAUCUUGUUCUGACUGAUUUUAUUAUAUUCUGUUUCGCUUAAUAGUAUGAAGUUUGAGGGUAUAGGCAACCAUUUGGAAGGCAACCAGAUAUUCUAUGAUGCCCAUUAUUGUUUGACUAUUAUCUUCUUUGGAAUCCUGUAAGCUCUCCAAUGUGGUUCUAUUGGUCUUAUGUACAGUUUUCUUUUAUACCAGCUGAUAUAGGCUAGUCUUUUUAGGAUAACAAGAGGCAUAAUGGUAACCAUUGUUAAUCAUCUAGUAAUCCUUUUUUUUUUUCAUUAUAUACUAUGUCCAUCCUCCUGAUCUAACGACUGUUUUGCUUUGUCACAUUGGGUUUUUCUUUGGUCCGUCUUGUUUUGUUUUGUUUUUUUAAAAAUCUUUUUUCUUUUCCUCUUUAAAGAAAAAGUUAUAAAAACUGUGGAAGUAAUGGAAACUAAAAUGUGUGAUUGUUGGCGUAAAAAAGAGAGGAAGGAAAGUGAUCUCAAGCAUAUAACUGCAAGUAUAUUUAAAUGUGUAAGAUAGAGAACCAUAUUGCUGAGUUUUUCUUGGAUCAUUGAACAGAACUGACUGCAGUCUCACUGUAUUAAUGUCCACUUUGUACGCUUUAAUUUUGUAAUCUGGACAGCUGUUUGUAAGAUGACAAUAUGUGAUCUAUUAACUGGUGAAUUCUUACUGUAUAUUUUUUCUCUUGAAAUUCUGUAUUACUUCUAGCCUUUUAUUGUUUUGCUUUGUUUAGUUUUGUUUUUCUCUUUAAAUAAAAAAAAUAAAGACGA